AGGUAAGCUACUAAGAGCGAAUGGUGGAUGCCUUGACUGGUAAAGGCGAUGAAGGACGUACUAGACUGCGAUAAGCUACGGGGAGCUGUCAAGAAGCUUUGAUCCGUAGAUUUCCGAAUGGGGCAACCCAAUGUAUAGAGAUAUACAUUACCUAUAUAGGAGCGAACGAGGGGAAUUGAAACAUCUUAGUACCCUCAGGAAAAGAAAUCAAUAGAGAUUGCGUCAGUAGCGGCGAGCGAAAGCGCAAGAGGGCAAACCCAGUGCUUGCACUGGGGGUUGUAGGACUGCAAUGUGCAAGAGGUAAGUUUAGCAGAACAUUCUGGAAAGUAUAACCAUAGAGGGUGAUAGUCCCGUAUGCGAAAAACAAACCUUAGCUAGCAGUAUCCUGAGUAGGGCGGGACACGAGGAAUCCUGUCUGAAUCCGGGUCGACCACGAUCCAACCCUAAAUACUAAUACCAGAUCGAUAGUGCACAAGUACCGUGAGGGAAAGGUGAAAAGAACUGAGGUGAUCAGAGUGAAAUAGAACCUGAAACCAUUUGCUUACAAUCAUUCAGAGCCCUAUGUAGCAAUACAGGGUGAUGGACUGCCUUUUGCAUAAUGAGCCUGCGAGUUGUGGUGUCUGGCAAGGUUAAGCAAACGCGAAGCCGUAGCGAAAGCGAGUCUGAAUAGGGCGCUUAGUCAGAUGCUGCAGACCCGAAACGAAGUGAUCUAUCCAUGAGCAAGUUGAAGCUAGUGUAAGAACUAGUGGAGGACUGAACCCAUAGGCGUUGAAAAGCCCCGGGAUGACUUGUGGAUAGGGGUGAAAGGCCAAUCAAACUUCGUGAUAGCUGGUUCUCUCCGAAAUAUAUUUAGGUAUAGCGUUGUGUCGUAAUAUAAGGGGGUAGAGCACUGAAUGGGCUAGGGCAUACACCAAUGUACCAAACCCUAUCAAACUCCGAAUACCUUAUAUGUAAUCACAGCAGUCAGGCGGCGAGUGAUAAAAUCCGUCGUCAAGAGGGAAACAACCCAGACUACCAGCUAAGGUCCCUAAAUCUUACUUAAGUGGAAAACGAUGUGAAGUUACUUAAACAACCAGGAGGUUGGCUUAGAAGCAGCCAUCCUUUAAAGAAAGCGUAAUAGCUCACUGGUCUAGUGAUUUUGCGCGGAAAAUAUAACGGGGCUAAAGUAAGUACCGAAGCUGUAGACUUAGUUUACUAAG
rnacentral:rRNA from 1 species